rnacentral:rRNA from 1 species
CAGUAGCCACGGGAAUACGAAGGGGGCUAGCGUUGUUCGGAAUUACUGGGCGUAAAGCGCACGUAGGCGGAUAUUUAAGUCAGGGGUGAAAUCCCGCAGCUCAACUUCGGAACUGCCUUUGAUACUGGGUAUCUUGAGUAUGGAAGAGGUUAGUGGAAUUGCGAGUGUAGAGGUGAAAUUCGUAGAUAUUCGCAGGAACACCAGUGGCGAAGGCGGCUAACUGGUCCAUAACUGACGCUGAGGUGCGAAAGCGUGGGGAGCAAACAGGAUUAGAGACCCCAGUAGUCCCUGUCUCUUAUAC